AACCGAGAACUCCUACGGGAGGCAGCAGUGGGGAAUUUUGGACAAUGGGGGCAACCCUGAUCCAGCAAUGCCGCGUGAGUGAAGAAGGCCUUCGGGUUGUAAAGCUCUUUUGUCAGGGAAGAAACGGUAGUAGCUAAUAUCUAUUACUAAUGACGGUACCUGAAGAAUAAGCACCGGCUAACUACGUGCCAGCAGCCGCGGUAAUACGUAGGGUGCAAGCGUUAAUCGGAAUUACUGGGCGUAAAGCGUGCGCAGGCGGUUGUGUAAGUCAGAUGUGGAAUCCCCGGGCUUAACCUGGGAAUUGCAUUUGAGACUGCACGGCUAGAGCGUGCCAGAGGGGGGUAGAAUUCCACGUGUAGCAGUGAAAUGCGUAGAUAUGUGGAGGAAUACCGAUGGCGAAGGCAGCCCCCUGGGAUAACACUGACGCUCAUGCACGAAAGCGUGGGGAGCAAACAGGAUUAGAAACCCCUGUAGUCCGACUGAGA
rnacentral:rRNA from 1 species